CAGCCGCCGCGGUAAUACAGAGGGUGCGAGCGUUAAUCGGAUUUACUGGGCGUAAAGCGUGCGUAGGCGGCUAAUUGAGUCGGAUGUGAAAUCCCCGAGCUUAACUUGGGAAUUGCAUUCGAUACUGGUUAGCUAGAGUGUGGGAGAGGAUGGUAGAAUUCCAGGUGUAGCGGUGAAAUGCGUAGAGAUCUGGAGGAAUACCGAUGGCGAAGGCAGCCAUCUGGCCUAACACUGACGCUGAGGUACGAAAGCAUGGGGAGCAAACAGGAUUAGAUACCCCAGUAGUCCUGUCUCUUAUACA
rnacentral:rRNA from 1 species